rnacentral:rRNA from 1 species
AGAGUUUGAUCAUGGCUCAGGACGAACGCUGGCGGCGUGCCUAAUACAUGCAAGUCGAGCGGGGUUUAUGGGUAGCUUGCUACCGAUAAACCAAGCGGCGGACGGGUGAGUAACGCGUGGGCAACCUGCCCUCUAGCCUGGGAUAACAGCGCGAAAGUGCUGCUAACACCGGAUAUGCUCACAGGGAGACAUCUCCCGGUGAGGAAAGUUUACACUAGAGGAUGGGCCCGCGUCCCAUUAGCUAGUUGGUGAGGAAACGGCCCACCAAGGCGACGAUGGGUAGCCGACCUGAGAGGGUGAUCGGCCACACUGGGACUGAGACACGGCCCAGACUCCUACGGGAGGCAGCAGUAGGGAAUUUUCCGCAAUGGGCGCAAGCCUGACGGAGCAACGCCGCGUGAGGGAUGAAGGUUUUCGGAUCGUAAACCUCUGUCUUCAGGGACGAUAAUGACGGUACCUGAGGAGGAAGCCACGGCUAACUACGUGCCAGCAGCCGCGGUAAUACGUAGGUGGCGAGCGUUGUCCGGAAUUACUGGGCGUAAAGGGCGUGUAGGCGGCCUUUUAAGUCAGAUGUGAAAUCUCAGGGCUUAACCCUGAAACUGCAUUUGAAACUGGAGGGCUUGAGGAUCGGAGAGGGCAGUGGAAUUCCCAGUGUAGCGGUGAAAUGCGUAGAUAUUGGGAGGAACACCAGUGGCGAAGGCGACUGCCUGGACGACACCUGACGCUGAGGCGCGAAAGCUAGGGGAGCGAACGGGAUUAGAUACCCCGGUAGUCCUAGCCGUAAACGAUGGGUACUAGGUGUGGGAGGUAUC